rnacentral:rRNA from 1 species
UACGGAGGAUGCAAGCGUUAUCCGGAAUGAUUGGGCGUAAAGCGUCCGCAGGUGGCAAUGUAAGUCUGCUGUUAAAGAGUCUAGCUCAACUAGAUAAAAGCAGUGGAAACUACAUAGCUAGAGUACGUUCGGGGCAGAGGGAAUUCCUGGUGUAGCGGUGAAAUGCGUAGAGAUCAGGAAGAACACCAAUUGCGAAGGCAGCUUGCUACACGGUAAUUGACACUGAGGCACGAAAGCGUGGGGAGCAAACAGG